CGUUGCCGCGUGCCAGUAUUUACGUGAAAAAUGUGCGACUCGGGAACGAUAUGUUGUGCUCCACUCCACUGUUAUGCACUCAACCUAACGGUGAUGACCAGUGCCAGUGAAAUUUUUUCGAGCUUUUGUUCUCCGCUGUUGUGAUGAGCAGGAAAGGGUGGAGCAAUAUGGUGGUUGAGUCAAGUCAGGUUCAUCGAUCUACAACUUGGUUGCAAGCUGGAUUUUUACAUGCAUGUAUCCCAUGUUGUUAACAUUGCACUGUGAUCGCUUGUAAUUGUUUAAUAAACAGAUUUCACAGGCUGAAAA
rnacentral:lncRNA from 1 species